AUUGAACGCUGGCGGCAGGCCUAACACAUGCAAGUCGAGCGGGGUUUUCGGACCUAGCGGCGGACGGGUGAGUAAUGCGUAGGAAGCUACCCGAUAGAGGGGGAUACCAGUUGGAAACGACUGUUAAUACCGCAUAAUGUCUACGGACCAAAGUGUGGGACCGUCGGGCCACAUGCUAUCGGAUGCGCCUACGUGGGAUUAGCGAGUUGGUGAGGUAAGGGCUCACCAAGGCGACGAUCCCUAGCUGGUUUGAGAGGAUGAGCAGCCACACUGGAACUGAGACACGGUCCAGACUCCUACGGGAGGCAGCAGUGGGGAAUAUUGGACAAUGGGCACAAGCCUGAUCCAGCCAUGCUGCGUGUGUGAAGAAGGCCUUCGGGUUGUAAAGCACUUUCAGUAGGGAGGAAGCGUUGUGUGUUAAUAGUACACAGCGUUGACGUUACCUACAGAAGAAGCACCGGCUAACUCUGUGCCAGCAGCCGCCGUAAUAC
rnacentral:rRNA from 1 species